UACGUAGGGGGCAAGCGUUGUCCGGAAUCAUUGGGCGUAAAGGGCGCGUAGGCGGCCUUCUAAGUCGAACGUGAAAUCCCCGGGCUCAACCCGGGAACUGCGUCCGAUACUGGGAGGCUUGAAUCCGGGAGAGGGAUGUGGAAUUCCAGGUGUAGCGGUGAAAUGCGUAGAUAUCUGGAGGAACACCGGUGGCGAAGGCGGCAUCCUGGACCGGUAUUGACGCUGAGGCGCGAAAGCCAGGGGAGCAAACGGG
rnacentral:rRNA from 1 species